rnacentral:rRNA from 1 species
GAUGAACGCUGGCGGCGUGCUUAACACAUGCAAGUCGAACGGAACUCAUUGGAUCAAGACUCCGGUCAAGUGAAUUUGAGUUUAGUGGCGGACCGGGUGAGUAACGCGUGAGGAACCUGCCUCGGAGUGGGGAAUAACAGUUGGAAACAGCUGCUAAUACCGCAUGAUGCAUACGGAUCGCAUGGUCUGUAUGCCAAAGNUUUAUCGCUCUGAGAUGGCCUCGCGUCUGAUUAGCUAGUUGGCGGGGUAACGGCCCACCAAGGCGACGAUCAGUAGCCGGACUGAGAGGUUGGCCGGCCACAUUGGGACUGAGACA